rnacentral:rRNA from 1 species
UCCAUGCGGCACCUGUACCGCAAACGGACACACGUGGUCGGGUAGAACAUACUAAGGCGUUGAGAGAUUCUUGGUUAAGGAACUAGGCAAAUUGACCCUGUAACUUCGGGAUAAAGGGUCCUCACAGGAAUGUGAGGCGCAGAGAAUAGGUCCAGGCAACUGUUUAACAAAAACACAGGGCUGUGCAAACUCGAAAGAUGA